AUCUUUGCUCUUGGGGCGGCACAGCUAGUGAGGUACUAACCGAGGCACGUUUAGUGCUGGUUGAAAACUAUUUCCAAAAGAACCCCCUCUUUGGCCUGGGUUCUGCCCUGGCGGUUGAGAACUUUUGGAAGGGCUGCCUUUGGGGUCAAGCC